CACUGCUACUCCUACUGCUCUCUCCUCGUCUGCCCACGUGUUCUCGCAUACCCCGAGAGCAUCUGGCCAGCGGGGUGCUGGCACUGGAAUCCUCAUCUCUCCCAAGUGGACAUUCUCUCUUUCUCCCCUGACCCAUCUGUCUANNNNNNNNNNNNNNNNNNNNUUCAUGUAAUUCUAAUUCUGAAGAUGAAUAAGAACAUUUAGGCAUUAGAGUAAAUACAUUGAAGCAAGGUGUUAGGUUGUGAACAGAGUAUGAACUCAAACGGAUGCAGAGAAAAGCUCAAACCAAGUUUAUUCAGCCCACUGAAUGCUGCAUCUGCAUAGCAUAGCUUGUACAUAACCAAUCAAUCAUUUAUUACAGUAUGUCAAGUUAAGGGUGUGACUUCUCAGAAAUGUUCAUCUGUUUCCCAGAACUGCCUGUUGGGCUGUUGUUGAGCGGCUGGUAUCACCCUUCUCCCAUUAUCCCCCACGUUGUUCCACCUCCACUUCUGGGAGGAACCAGGUGGGGCCACAGAGCAGACUCCCCCAUCUCAUCCCACCAACUCUGUCAGUCCAGCAGGCCCCACAAUGCAGCCUCCACACCACUGCAGUAACAGCCAUAUCUUCCCAUCACAAAGCUUCAGUACUGUCUCAAUGUGUUGAAGUACCAUCCAGGAUCCUGUGGCAACGUCAAUGUGAAACAGCAUUGACCCGUGAUCACCACCAACCAGGGCUCCACAGCGGUAUCCUUGGACACCCAGUGAAUCCAGAGAGAGCACACCAGGCAGCAUUGAGCACUUUGAUGAGAUUGGCUGUUCAGCAGGAAGAUUCAUCUGGCUACACAGAAGGGAUGAUGGCUCUGACCAAUAAAAUUAUAUUUUUGAAACUAUAUAACUGAAUAAACUAUGAUUUAACUAAAAACAUAUUUCUGUUUUGGUUAGUAAUUAUUGCCUUAUUUCACUGUAGAGCCUCUAGCCCUGCUGAAUACGCCUUAUUUAUCCAUCCUACAAGUGUUUAGCAGAUGUUAUUGCGGGUGUAGCAAAAUGCUUGUGUUUCUAGCUCCAUCAGUGCAGUAAUAUCUAACAAUACACACAAAUCUAAGUAUAGGAAUGGAAUUAAGAAUAUAUAAAUAAAUGGGCGAACAAUGUCAGAACGGCAUAGACUAAGACACAGUAGUAUAGUAUAGAAUACAGUAUAUACAUAUGAGAUGAGUAAUACAUAGACUAAGACACAGUAGUAUAGUAUAGAAUACAGUAU
rnacentral:lncRNA from 8 species